AAAAAUAAAGAUUCCAAACCUCUCAUUUCUAUCUCUCCUUCACGUGUCUCCCCCUCUCCCCUCUCUCUCUUCACCGUGAUUCUCUCUCCUCUGUACGGCGAUGGUGUCGCCACGCCGCCGGCACCCUUGGUGUUUCUCUCACCGGCGGAGUUUUUCUUGUUGUUGAUUGCUUCUGUCGCUGCCGUGCUUACUCCCCCGCUGCCCUCCUCUUCCUCUCGCCCGUCUCUCCCCUCUCUCACUUUAGUUCAUGCCGCCGGCUAUGGUGGUUGAUGGCCACCAACAUCCUAACUCCACCAUUGAAUGGUAAGUCACUCUAACUUCCUCUCCUAUUUGAAUCAAUUGAUUUUAAAUUAGGAAUCUAGAAACCCUAACUAAAUAAUUUUUUCUCUUUUUGGGUGUUCCGGCUUCGGUGUUGCCGUUUUGGUGGUGAUACCAUCUCGUGUGUGAGUGUUGGUUGUCUUGGUGUUGUUUCUUUGCCCUCGUUUUUCCCUGCUCUUCCGUGUCACAUCCCUGUCUCCUCCGCCAGGCUCUACCUUCGAUUUGUCUCAAGGUGAGUAGCUUAUUGAUUCAAGCUUUUCUGGAUGAGGUCAAUGAUUGGAGAAGGAAUAAGGAGAUUUGAAUCAAGGACUUAAGUGGAGAGCGAAGAUCGAAUGAGGCUUGGGAUGCAUGUGUAACGAUUCGAGAGGUUAAAUGUUUUGCAGGUAGCGAGAAUCGAGUCUUGGUUCAGGUUCAAGGUGCGUAGAGUCCUCCAGAUGUCUUAUAUGCUUCAAGGCGCGUUUAUGGAAUCUCCAAGUGUAUUUAAGUGUUUUCCAAUUAUUAAUGUAUUGUAUUAUUCCUUUCUAAAGCUUUAUGGUUUAUUAUUUAUGAAUUACAUAUCCUUGUUGAGUAUGGUGCCA